GCGACCGUAGCUCAGUUGGUUAGAGCACCUGGUUGUGGUCCAGGGGGUCGGGGGUUCGAAUCCCCUCGGUCGCC
rnacentral:tRNA from 1 species